rnacentral:rRNA from 1 species
AGGUGGUCAGGUAGAGAAUACCAAGGCGCUUGAGAGAACUCGGGUGAAGGAACUAGGCAAAAUGGUGCCGUAACUUCGGGAGAAGGCACGCUGGCGCGUAGGUGAAGGGACUUGCUCCCGGAGCCGAAGCCAGUCGAAGAUACCAGCUGGCUGCAACUGUUUAUUAAAAACACAGCACUGUGCAAACACGAAAGUGGACGUAUACGGUGUGACGCCUGCCCGGUGCCGGAAGGUUAAUUGAUGGGGUUAUCCGCA